CUACAAAAAGAGUGUUUCCAAACUGCUCAAUCAAAAGAAAACUUCAACUCCAUGAGGCCUCAAAGCGCUCCAAAAGUCCACUUGCAGAUUCUACAAAAAGAGUGUUUCCAAACAGCUCAAUCAAAAGAAAUUUUUGACUCUGUGAGAUGAACGCUCUCAUCACAAAGAUGUUUCUCAGAAUUCUUCUGUCUAGUUUUUAUAUGAAGAUACUUCCUUUUCCACGAUGGGCCUCAAUAUGAUCCAAAUAUCCACUUGCAGAUUCUACAAAAGGAGUGUUUCAAAACUCCUCAAUCAAAAGAAAGAUUUAACUCUGUGAGAUGAAUGCAACAUCACAAAGAAGUUUCUCAGAUUGCUUCUGUCUGGAUUUUAUGUGAAGAUAUUUCCUUUUCCACCAUAGGCCUUUAAGAGCUCCAAAUGUCCACUUCCAGAUUCUACGUAAAGAGAGUAGCAAAAUUGCUCAAUCAAGAGAAAGUUUUAACUCUGUGAGAUAAAUGCACACAUCAUAAAAAAAUUUCUCAGUUUGCUUCUGUCUAUAUUUUAUGUGAGGGUAUUCCGUUUUCUACCAUAGGCUGCAAAGCUCCCCAAAUAUCCACUUACAGAUUCUACCAAAAGAGAGUUUCAAAACUACUCUGUCAAAAGAUAGGUUCAAAUCCGUGAGUUGAAUGCACACAUAACAAGGAAGUUUCCCAGAAUGCUUCUGUGUAGUUUUUAUCCGAAGAUAUUUCCUUUUCCAAAAUAGACCACAAAGCCCUUCACAUAUUCACUUCCAGAUUCUACAAAAAAAGUGUUUCAAAACUACUCAGUCAAUAGAAAGGUUCAACUCUGUGUGGUGAAUGCAUUUUUCUCAAAGAAGUUUCCCAGAAUGCUUCUGUGUAGUUUUUAUUUGAAGAUAUUUCAUUUUCCAUCAUAGGGCACAAAAUGCUCCAAGUAUCCACUUGCAGAUUCUACAGAAAGAGAGAUUUAAAAAUGCUGAAUCAAAAGAUAGGGUCAACACUGUGAGUUGAAUGCACACAUAACAAGAAGUUUCACAGAAUGCUUCUGUGCAGUAUUUAUGUGAAGAUAUUUCCUUUUUCAAAAUAGGCCUCAAAUCGCUCCAAAUAUCCACUUGCAGAUUCUACAAAAAGAGUGUUUCCAAACAGCUCAAUCAAAAGAAUGGUUAAAUUCUGUGAGACAAAUGCACACAUCAC
rnacentral:lncRNA from 1 species